UACGAAGGGGGCUAGCGUUGCUCGGAAUCACUGGGCGUAAAGAGUGUGUAGGCGGUGCUCUAAGUUCGGUGUGAAAUCUCUCGGCUUAACUGGGAGGGUGCGCCGGAAACUGGAGUGCUCGAACGUGGGAGAGGAAAGCGGAAUUCCUGGUGUAGCGGUGAAAUGCGUAGAUAUCAGGAGGAACACCUGCGGUGUAGACGGCUUUCUGGACCAUUGUUGACGCUGAGACACGAAAGCGUGGGUAGCAAACAGG
rnacentral:rRNA from 1 species